CCUACGGGUGACUGCAGUCGAGAAUCAUUCACAAUGGGGGAAACCCUGAUGGUGCGACGCCGCGUGGGGGAAUGAAGUUCUUCGGAUUGUAAACCCCUGUCAUGUGGGAGCAAAUUAAAAAGAUAGUACCCCAAGAGGAAGAGACGGCUAACUCUGUGCCAGCAGCCGCGGUAAUACAGAGGUCUCAAGCGUUGUUCGGAAUCACUGGGCGUAAAGCGUGCGUAGGCUGUUUCGUAAGUCGUGUGUGAAAGGCGCGGGCUCAACCCGCGGACGGCACAUGAUACUGCGAGACUAGAGUAAUGGAGGGGGAACCGGAAUGCUCGGUGUAGCAGUGAAAUGCGUAGAUAUCGAGAGGAACACUCGUGGCGAAGGCGGGUUCCUGGACAUUAACUGACGCUGAGGCACGAAGGCCAGGGGAGCGAAAGGGAUUAGAUACCCCGGUAGUC
rnacentral:rRNA from 1 species